AGAAAGCAGGAAGAUUGAAAUUUCAUUAAAUUAAAAUCAACAAGAAAAAAAUUCUAGCUGGAAUCCAAAAAUUCAGCUUUAUUGGUACAACAAAAAUGUCAAAUCGGUAUAUAAAGAUAACAAAAAAAAAAAGUAAAAGAAUAACAUAAAAUCAAUACUAUACUAUUUAAUUCAACAAUCUAGCAAAGGCAAGUGACAAGAAAGUGACUGGCAAAGCUGCAAGAACCAAAGAUGGAGCUGAGCCACUUGGUGGUGGUGGUGAAGUGACCGGAGAAUCACCCGAGGGGGCGGAUGGGACGGUGGAGCCAGAUGGCGUGGCGGCGAUGGAAGGCGUGGGGGCGGCGGCGCUGGUGCCGGUGACUUUGAUAGCUAGCUUUUGACCUAAUGAGCAGUGGCUAGGGAAAGUGCACAUGUAGUAAUUUUCACCAGAAUUUGUAAGUGUGAUCCUAGCAGGACCAGUGUUAAUUGUGUUAAUAGUAGAAGUAGUGUUGCAUGAAUCAUAAGCUGCCUUACUAACCAUUGCAACAUUGUGCCUCCCAUUGACAAAAUUGAAAACUGCAUUGAAAAAUAUAAGAAAGGUUAGAAUGUCAGAUCAACAACUAUAAAUAUAGUAAUAGGUAUUUUCAUAAAGAACUACAGUUUAUAGCCUAAUUACCAUACGUAACUGUAGUUUGCUUAAUUGUCAUUCGUAACUAUUGUUCAAUUGUUACCGGCUUAUAUCAUUUGUAUUCAUUCGUUAUCAACACAUAUAAUACACUGAAAUACAGUGAUACAUACAGUUGUUGUAUUAUUGUAUGUGUGACUCCAUACACUGCAUUUACCAUUGUGAUUUUGCUGCAAAAUACAAUUGUAGCUGCAAGUUGUAAUUAUUUCAAAGUGUAUUUAUGUAUGGUAAAUACAGUAGAUAAGUUAGUUACACCAUGUAAUUUUCAUAGAAAUGAGAGUAUUUCAAGAUAAAUGUGAUACAAAAUAUUACUCCUAUUUGAAUUAUAAGCACUAUUGGCACCUCAAAUGUUGGGAGGUUUUAAUGCACGAUGGUAAGUAUAAUCGGGUCAUUUAUAAGGUAAUUAUAGAUAAAUAUUAUGAUAAAUAUUAAUUGAUAACCUGAUAAAAAAUGGUAAACGAAUUCGGGAUAAGUUUUAGUGCUUACCAAGAGUAUCUCCAACUUUGAAGGAUUUGCCAUUAGCCCAAGUUUGAUAAGCAUUUGGGCCACCAGUAGUAGGAACAUUCCAGCCCAUGUUGCCUCCAACAGUAUAAGUUUGGGCUGCAACUGUAGGUGAGGGUGCUGCCGCUGAUGGGGCGGGAGCUGUUGAUGGGUUCGCUGAAGGAGCGGUCACUGGAGUGGCAGUGGGAGGAGUGGUGGGCCUGGCGGCAGCUGGCUGAGGAGCCGGAGAGGCGGAGCCGGCGACAUUGAUAGCCAAUUUCUGGCCCAAUGUACAAUGGCUUGGCAAGGUGCAAAGGUAGUAAUGUGAUCCAGCAGAUCUCAAUGUAAUAUUUGUUGGCCCAUUAGUGGAUAUAGAAAUUGGGUUUGCGGUAUUGCAUGAAUCAAAAGCUGCCUUUGACACCUCAGCCACACUAUGCAAUCCGGUUGUAAAGUUAAAAACUGCAUAAAGAAAAAAAUGAUUCCAAAUAAAUUUAUUAGUUACUAAAAGUUAUUAAAACCACGAAAAUUUAUGAUUUUGAAAGUCUUGUAAUCCACCGUGAUGAAAGGUCACUUCACUAGACAUGGAGGUGAAUUUAGAGCGGGCUUUA
rnacentral:lncRNA from 1 species